AGCAGGGGAUCUUCGGACCUUGCGCUAAUAGAUGAGCCUAAGUCGGAUUAGCUAGUUGGUGGGGUAAAGGCCUACCAAGGCGACGAUCUGUAGCGGGUCUGAGAGGAUGAUCCGCCACACUGGGACUGAGACACGGCCCAGACCCCUACGGGAGGCAGCAGUGGGGAAUAUUGGACAAUGGGCGCAAGCCUGAUCCAGCCAUGCCGCGUGUGUGAAGAAGGCCUUAUGGCUGUAAAGCACUUUAAGCGAGGAGGAGGCUACUGAAGUUAAUACCUUCAGAUAGUGGACGUUACUCGCAGAAUAAGCACCGGCUAACUCUGUGCCAGCAGCCGCGGUAAUACAGAGGGUGCAAGCGUUAAUCGGAUUUACUGGGCGUAAAGCGCGCGUAGGCGGCUAAUUAAGUCAAAUGUGAAAUCCCCGAGCUUAACUUGGGAAUUGCAUUCGAUACUGGUUAGCUAGAGUGUGGGAG
rnacentral:rRNA from 1 species